AUGUGACCUGAUACAGCUCUCCUGUUCAGCUCAAUUGCUUAACUCUUUUCAGAGCUAGAUUAUCAGUGAAAAUAUAUUUACUUUCAUGUAAAGAACAGAGCUUAAAGUUAUGGCUUCUAAAGAUUACAAAGUCUUCAAUAUAUUAUACACAGUGUUCCCCAGAAGACAGCAAGUCCAACGGGUUUGGAAUGACAUGAGGAGGAAUCAUCACCUUCACAGCCACCUCCAUCAUCACUGUCACCUGGUCCCAAUCACACCCAAUCGCCGGAGGACUGAUCACCUGCCCUUAAUAUCCUACUCAGUAUAAAGUCACCAUCAUUUCAUACCCCAGAUGAUCCUCCUGAUCUCCCCCUCUAAUUCCAGACUCCCGUGCCAUUGUCAAUGCCUGUCUAACUUCCUGGACCAAUAUAUUUUAGCCUGAUCAUCGCCAGCCUUCCUAUGCAUUUCCAAUUCCUGCAAAUAAGUCUGCAUUCCUUAACUCAGCCUGAUUUGUGACCAUCCAGGUCCAUCCAGACAUGUCAUGUACAUUAUAUUUAUGCCGUUCUUGAUUGUUUAAAAAAUUUAAACCAACAAAAAAUAAAACUUUCAUA